CACAUAGCUCAAUUAUCGUAGGCUUAGGUUCAUAAUCACCCUUUAAUUAAUUAACGCUUUAACUAAUUAAAAUUGAAUGCAACAUUUUCAUUUGGUUUUUGUAUCCAUAAAAUUGAUUUAAAUGGAGCUAAAUGAAAUGAAAAUCCAAUUCUCAUUUAAAGAGACAAAACAAUUUUGUUCUCUACCUAAUUUGGGCCAACAUGCAAUAACCACAACUUUUUGGGCUAUAUUGCGAAAACACAAACUUUUGGGGUCACUUUGUAAAAACACAAAAGUCCACUACUUCAUGUAAUUACAACUAGAACCCAAAAAUUUCAACAAAUACAAAAACUUCAUUAAAGGAACAAAACAAUUUGUCCUUUAGCGUUUUUGGACCUAAACGUAAAAACGUAAACUUUUGGGCCAAAGUGCAAAUACACAAAAGUAUCAAAACUUUAUGUAAUUGCAUAAAAGCCCCAAAAGUACCCUAUUUUAUUAGGGUGGCCGGUUUUAGAUAUUAAAGGGAGUGAUGUGUGUGUUGAUUUGUAGUUUUGACAUAAAGUCAUGCAUGAGGUGCAUGACACAAAAGUCAUGCAAGUGGUGUGUGUGAAAGGGAAUUAAUCCUCACACACCCAUCAAUAUUUCUAUCACCUUUCUAAAUAAAUAUCUAACACAUUUAAACAUUUGAAAAGCACAAAACAAAAACAUUAUGAAAUAAAUCAAAACUUUGAAUCAAAACACCAAACUUUUUGUUCUUGGCUAAAAUAUCAAGAACAAUAAAGAACA
rnacentral:lncRNA from 1 species